rnacentral:rRNA from 1 species
UACGUAGGGUGCAAGCGUUGUCCGGAAUUAUUGGGCGUAAAGAGCUCGUAGGCGGUCUGUCGCGUCGGCUGUGAAAACUCGGGGCUCAACUCCGAGCUUGCAGUCGAUACGGGCAGGCUAGAGUUCGGCAGGGGAGAGUGGAAUUCCUGGUGUAGCGGUGGAAUGCGCAGAUAUCAGGAAGAACACCCGUGGCGAAGGCGGCUCUCUGGAACGCAACUGACGCUGAGACGCGAAAGCGUGGGGAGCAAACAGG